UAACAAAGAUAUCAAUAUAAAUCUUUAAUGAACAUACAAAUAAAGUAUAUAAAGACAGAAACAAAUUAACAACAGCACAAGCCAAACAAUCGAAAAAGAACUUUACCCAAAUCUUACAAGCCUCAAGGCAGAAACACAAGUCACCAACUAAUCCAAUGUUUCGGCACCAACUGGCUGCCUUUAUCAAGGGCACCUGAUAAAGGCAACCAGUU